rnacentral:misc_RNA from 1 species
CGCUCUCCAUGCUUUGACCUUGAUUUCAUUAUAGAAUAACUGAUCCAGGCAAAUGUUUUUAAAACGUACUCAAACAAUGAUCUAGCUAGCCUCAGUGGAAGCAAAAUCAAAGAUCAAUAUGGUAGGUUCUCGUAUCAGCAAUGGAACUUGUAUGGACCAAUAUUCGUUCCCUUUCUUGUGAUCUUCUGUAUCAGUUUAAUGACAUCAAUUUCAGCUCCAUAUUAGCUAUGAAAUUCCUUGCUUGGCUUUCAUAGAUUCAAGCAAUGUUGGUAAAUAAGAACUAACUGUUGAAAGAAAAUCACGGCCGCAACAUAAUCGUUGCUAGUAAAUGCUUUAGUCAGGUAGAAGUACAGAUGCAACAAUAAUACAUCUCCACAACUUGGAGGUACUCUAAUUAGAUUGCAACUCAUGGAGUCCAUGAACAAAAAAGCUUGCACUGAAAAUUGACUUUUAAAGAGAUUACAUUACUCACAGCCUAAAACGAAGCCAGACUUGGUUAACCGCUGCAAUAUACAGCAAAUUGCAAACUGGCUGAUCUCUAGGAACCCAGACGACAGUUUCCUUUAAGAAUCAAGAAGAUCAACUUUUGAUAUUGCAUAUAUUAGGUAUGUAGAUAUGGUAUACCAGGUGAUUCAACGUUUUCUGCCCAAUUUAAAAACUGCAUACCAACAGUCAUAGCAUCAAAUUCAAAUAAUACGUAUCUGGUUAAAAACAGAAAACUGAUAACUAAUGCCAUAUUACCAGCCCAAUCCUACACGCUCUGUACUUGGUUUGAAAUUUCUUUUGGUUUUGCAUUAUCUUUUCCCUGCAAUCCGUGAAAUCAAAAUGUCCAAGGUAAGAGAUUCACCCACUACCAAUGUCUAAGCAAGAUAAUCAUAAACAUCAAGGCCAAAAAACCAGAACAAUGUACAGUAAGUGAACCACUAAUAAAUAUGCAAAUUGACAGCAAGGACAAAUAACCAAACCAAAAAGCUAGUGAACAAACGAUUAAUACACAAUCACAUUGACAAUUUCAUUCAUCUAACAAUACAAUUGCCACAUCAAUAGUUUCCAUCAGAAAAAGCAAGUAUACUUGGGUAUGUCACAGUUUACAGGUUCCUCAUAUAUAGGUAAAAGUAUUUUCACUGAAUAAAAGAAUAAUCUCUAGUUUUCAACAAAAGAACCUAAAACUACUCAUCUGCAAUAUUUGGUUGACAUGCAUUUGAAUGAACUGAAUCAAAGAAUGGUCCUCUUUUCCCCUUUUUUGUUUUCUUUUAUGGUAAGGAUAAAAGAAUAGCCUGGUUCAACAAAUAUGAAAGAACAACAUAUUUUCACUUCUCUAAUUCUACCAAUAUAUUAUAUAGAGCCUGUUUGGUUUAGCUAUUGGAUGCAACCAAUAGCCAUUGUUGUUAGCUGAUUACUGAUAACUAGUCGCAGAUAAUAAUUGAUUUAUGUUAAGUGUAAAACUAUAUUUAACUAUUGCUGUU